GUAGUUUCGUAGCAGGAGAUAGUUUCUCUGUACGAGAGGUUCUGUCAGCUCGAUCGCAGCGGCGGAGGUUUCAUCUUCGCCGACGAGUUUUCUGUCCGUACCGGAAUUCGCAGUCAAUCCUCUCUCUCAGUUUUGGCUGGGUGGACGUAGAUACUGGGGGAGAGGGAUUGGAGCAAGACCAUAUAAGCAAGAUCUUCACUUCUCUUUCGUUUCCAGGACCCUCUAUCAAUAUCAGCACUUCUGUUCGCCGACAUCAGAAACAUCCAUCAACAUCAAUACCUAUCACGGCCUGCUCCCAAUCUGAGAGAGACGACGAUUUGACUAAAAUCAAAUAGAAAAGGUUUCAUCUAUGAACAUACUUCUUUUCUUAUUUCUUUUUCUUUCUUUAGCUAUCCUUUCAUUUUAAUGAAAUUUAUAGGAACUUACUGAUUCGGCGAAGCACAAGAGAAUGGCUUUGAGUCUGAGUUUAUUUGAGGGUCUUUACUUACAGAGGUUGCUCUCUAGGUUAGUCAAGUAAUUAAAUCUAUGUUUUAGUUGAAUUUGUGAUCUUCUUUCUGAGUUCUAAUAAAUUUCCUUUCUAACAUUCAAUCAUUUUCAGAGACAAGUUUUUCUUUUCUUUGUUUCUGGUAUCUCUAAAUGUAUACUUUCUAAUAUUUUGCAUGAACUUGCAUAUACGAUUAUUUGAAAAAGAAAAAAUAAGAAGAACAAAAAUAACAA